UACGGAGGGGGCUAGCGUUGUUCGGAAUUACUGGGCGUAAAGCGUACGCAGGCGGCUUUGCAAGACAGGUGUGAAAUCCCCGGGCCUAACCUGGGAACUGCAUUUGUGACUGCAUGGCUAGAGUUUGUCAGAGGGGGGUGGAAUUCCACGUGUAGCAGUGAAAUGCGUAGAUAUGUGGAGGAACACCGAUGGCGAAGGCAGCCCCCUGGGAUGUGACUGACGCUCAUGUACGAAAGCGUGGGGAGCAAACAGG
rnacentral:rRNA from 1 species